UUUUCUAACCCUUCAGAGAGGAGCAAAAUUAUACCCUCUGCCUGCAAGCAGUCUCAUCAAGCUUCCUUCCACUUCCUUCUCUGACCUAGCACUCACUCCACAGCCUGCUCUUUAUACUUAAAUUAGAGAGUCUCACAGGUUUGUGGGUUUUUUUUGAGCCCUCUUGCCUGUUUUCAUCUCCCCCAGACCCCCUUAGUCAAGCAUCUCCAUGAAGAGAUGCCAGACUUUUCCUCUCUAGUAACUAAGCUGCUGCUGUUCAGGGAAGAAAUUCCUUUUGAAGUGAGGGUAUCAGACUUUGUCUAACAGCUGUGGAGACUCCUGAAGGACACUUUCUGGCAAAUCUGUAAAGCUUACGUUCCUCCUCCACUGCUUAUUGAACAUGGCUUCUAUCCUACAGCUUGUCCCAGAAAGUUACAGAAAGGAUAUAAUUCUGAAGGAUGUUGAGAACAAGCCUACUUUGAGGUCCAGCCCUGGGAGCUUUCAAGAGCUGUAUUUUCUGAAUGAUUCCUCCAAGUUCAGGGCAUGGAAAUAACCUAUUCUGGUGGUCAACAGAUGAAACUCCUUUCCAAGCAUCUGCAAAGAAUUCUAAUCCAAAUGAGUCUUGUGUUGCCCUUCAUCCUCUCUCCAGACUUUACUGCCUGUUUUUGCAUCUGAGUUUUUCCACAGCGUGAGUUUUGUUUGGCGUCCUGAUUAAGAUGUCAGGCCUUAAAGCUUAUAUUUAUCUGAUUGCAAACAUGCUAAGACACAAGAAUGAACAAAUACAUUUGACUGUCCAGAGUAUAAGGAACUGGUAUUAGUUUAUCAAGGUUAUUUCCUGACAUCAUCACUGGCUUCUGGAAGACGUGUCCCACUCUCAAACAGAACAGAAUAUGGAUGAUUUCGAAUGCUGGCAGGACCACUUUGUCUUCUUCUCCUCCAUCACCUUGUUGAAUUGUCCAAGGAAUGUACAGGAAAAUUGUGACAAUGAAGUAAAUUUUUUCUUGAGUAAAAUGGGGCAUAAAUUGUCCUUCAGAAGGGCUUUGAAAAGAAAGAGCAACAUCACCCAGGCCAGCAAAAGGAUUCCUGAGGAUAAAUCUGGCACUGGGCAGGCAUAUGCAUUUCAUCAUAAAGUCUGUGAAUACAGUAGAUGGCAUAGAAGGUCUCUUCCCAAUAUAAUGUAUAUCUCACAUGACACAGUAUGCUGUUCUGUUUCUCCCUGAAUUAUAAAAGCAAGUAAUUCAAACCACCUGAGAGCAAAAGCAAGGUGCAAGGAAUCUCUGUCUUCAAACAGGAUGAGAGAGUGCUAAUGAAAACCAAGAGUCCGGUGUAAGCGUGUUGCAAAGAAAAACUGCCUCUGAAAAGGGUUUUAUGUUCCCCUGAAGCCAGGAGUAGCUGCAUUUGUACCAACUCCACAGCCUUUCUGUUAUUGAUGUGUCUGAGUCGUCUUUGAAAGCCUGGCUUUUUCUUCUGAUAGAUAAAUAUAAACCCAGAUUAUAUUCACCCAUCUGCAAGAGAAAUCAUUAUGAAAUUAACCAGUGAUCAACCAAACCACAUGGGAAGCUCAGAAAGGUUUUUUGGGCUCUUUCAAAUGGCUGGCUCUUCUGUCUACAUCUGGAUGUGUUUAGCUCUGAAAUAUAAUUUUUGGUGCUGAUCACUUCUGGGUAGAACAUACAAUUAAGGUAUUUGAAAAAUAAACAUUUCUAAACCACUGAUCGUUGGGGAGAUGGCUUAGAAACGACAGCCCAUUUUCCAAGAAGGCGGUUGGGAAAGGGAACCUGAAAGCUUAAGAUAACAUUAAAAAGGAAACAGAAGAAGUCCAGGGAGGGAAAAGAAAACAAAAGAAGAAAAAGAAACCCAACAAACAAACCCACCCUCAAAGUAUUUUAACUGCUUCUCUAGACCUUUCAGACUAAUGUUAUUUGAAUUCUUUAAGGAAUCCAGCCUCGUUUCUGUGUAUUUCUAUGAAUUCAUGCUGCUACAUGAGGAAUGUGUUACUGAGAAGUGGAACCUGCAACAGUUUGAAAACAGGAGACAUUUGCAGUGAUUGGAGGAAUUUAAUCCUCCAAUCUUUUGGACCUUCAAUAUCAAAUUUCAAGAAGGAAGGGUAGCAGGGCUGAAGCCCCAGAAACAAAUUUGGACGUGCCUCUUCCUUCUGGUACCCUACUGCUAACUUCUCUUUCCCACCUAAACUCAGCUCACUUUGGCUCACCUCCUACGAUCCUCAGGCAGCUGCAUUUUACUUCUUAAACAAUUCCAAAACUGUUCGUUGCAGAAGAUAUUUGCCUGGUGCGUUCUCACCUGAAAGAUGAUUUUAAACCAGAAAGUUUGGUAGAGUUCCAUUUUGUCUAUUUUAUCAGUUAACCAAGAAGAUAAGAGUCAGUAAAAAAUAAAUACCAUAUGAUUUGGUGGCUGGUGCAGGAACACAAGUGUUCAGGAGUGAGCCAGAAAUGAACAGCUUUGAACUCUUGCAGAGUUCAGAUAUAGAUGUGAAUGCUGCUGAGGCACUACUGUGUAAUCCAGUUAAAUCAAACCAAAUCAGGAUCUACAUCCUUGAUUGAGCCUUCCCCAAGCCUCAGGUGAAGAGGUAAAGCCCAUCUAGCAAUAGUACUGCUACUGUAAUCAGCAGUGUUUUGAAAAUAAUUGGAUAAUAAAAGCAGAGGAUAUAACUGGAGUUCCUUGAAGUCAGUGGCUGCCUUUGACUGAGGAGAGAAAAGGUUUUGGAUCCUACAAAGGAAAGUGAUGGAAAGGCCAGCGUAGAAGCCUCCAGAAUCUGAGAUAAGCUUUGGCUAAGCCUGUUAAUACUUGGAUGCUUAAGCAAAGAUAACCUCCAAGCUUUUGGCAGCCCUGCCCACAAAUAGCUGAAACACAGAAGGACCAGGUAAUUACCUAAUGUGGUAAGAGCAAUUAUGGCAACUGUGUAAAAGGUAAAGCAAAUUUUACCUGACACCAAGGCUUGCUCUCACAUCUGGGAUUUUCAUACCCAAUGCAAGUUCUUUCUUUUCCUUUUGGAUUUUAAUGUUUACUGAAAUGCAUCUACUGGUGGGGUGAGGCUUAGCAUGGCUUUGCCUCAUUCCCAGUCAAUGUUCCAAAAAGCUGGACUGACAUGGGCUUUUGGAAAAUGUGGAGUCAAGUCCCGGCUCCUUCUCUAAGUCUGUAACUAGGAUGGGGAGGCUGUAAUAAUUCUUAAUUUCCAAUUUUUUGAGCUGUUGCUACUUAGAAUUCAAUUAGAGUAAAAUCCACAGGGCUAGGCCUUCCCAGAGUUUGGGAAGACUGCAUCCCAGCAUUUCAGCUCUUUUAAGCAGUGUGCAGGAGUUGCUGAAUCCCUGGAAAGCACCUAAGGAGCUUCCAUAAACAACUUUUAAAAUUAUAAUGAUAGUUAAUGACCUAAUUUCCUAGCCAGCCAAAAUACCUGAGGAAUCAAAGUCCCAUAUCUGAAUUAAUCUAAACUCCUGGGAGGUUUUGUUCUGGACUUCAUAUUCACAAUUACUGCUUUCUGUCUGGCAUUUUUUGGGCCAAUUCAAGACCUCAGUUUAGAUACCCACACAGUUACAGAUCGUUAUUUAUUUUCUGUAAAAUGCCAGAGAUUGCAGCAUUGUGUAACAGGAAGGGAUCUCAAGAGAAACACUAUUUUACUGCCCUCCAAUGAGGCAGAUGUAUAUGCAGAACAUACUGUAUAAGCAGCAUAUCCUCCUAAAUUUCUAGUUCCCAUUACAGUUAUGUGGUUCUUCAUUUCCAGCCCAAAUUUUCUUUGAUGUAAAUUGCAGGGGUUUGCCCCUCAUCUUUUUAUUUGCUAUAGUAUAAGAGUCACCAUCAACCUCUUUAUAAUGACUUGCCACAUAUUGGAAGAGAAUUUAUCAUGUCUCUCACCACCUUACUUUUUUUUCUUUAUUCUUUAAAUUGGCAUGUAGUGUGCAGUUAUUUCCCAAAUUUUCCCUGUAACUUCUGUCUGUUCUAGAAAGGCAUACAAGCUGCAUUGCUGUCAGUUCAGAGUGAGACCUGUCUGUGUGGGACUCACCAGGCAAACUUAUGCAAACUAAAAAUCAGCAUAUUCUGCCUGCUCUUGCAAGACAGUUUUUGUGGCGAGUUCCUCAUAAUUAUCAGUUAAUUGUCAUGAAUCCCAUGUUGCCAAGAAUUUGAAGAUGUGAAAAUUGGAUGCUGGUACAAUUUCCAGCCCACAGGAUACUUAGCUAUUCCAGCAAAGACUUCAGUACCUCCCUACAGCCAUAUGCACACAUGCCUGUGCUCUGGGAUAAAUGACACUAACAGAGUUUCUGACUUGUGAUAUCAUCCCUCUUUCCUAUAACACUGGAUAGAGUUGGUUGGUUUGAUUUAACCUUCCUUUUCUUGGAAAUCCUCCUUUGCAAAAACACCUGUGUAGUUAAAAAUCCCUAAAAGUGCAUGAAAUGUUUUCCAAUAGCCUAAGACAUGGAUAGGAAGUCCUAAUUCUAACGUAAUGAGAGGAAACAUGUUUUCCACUUCCUUAAAUUCAGUUUUCUGUAACCAUCAGAAAAAUUACUACACAGCUGCACAUGAUAGGUACCCUUUAUGCAGAUGGCUUCUGUUUUUGCUGGCCAGACUUUCCAGUCUAACACUUAGAUACUUUUGGUGAAAAGACAAGGUCUUGUGACCAGCUCUGGACAGUAACCAUUGGACUACUUACACACUAUAUAUCAGACAACAGGUCACCCAUCUCCAAAAUUGUGCUGGUGAGAUGUGGCAGAUAUGGUGUGAAAGUCACCAUGCUUCCCUCAUGCUGUGCAGAAACUUGAACAAUAGCCCAUUGUGCAUCCUCUCUAGGAGCA